CUAUGACACAAGAUGUCAUGGCGGAAGGAG
rnacentral:ncRNA from 1 species